GACGAACGCUGGCGGCGUGCUUAACACAUGCAAGUCGAACGAAGAGCGAUGGAAGCUUGCUUCUAUCAAUCUUAGUGGCGAACGGGUGAGUAACGCGUAAUCAACCUGCCCUUCAGAGGGGGACAACAGUUGGAAACGACUGCUAAUACCGCAUACGAUCUAAUCUCGGCAUCGAGGAAAGAUGAAAGGUGGCCUCUACCUGUAAGCUAUCGCCUGAAGAGGGGUUUGCGUCUGAUUAGCUAGUUGGAGGGGUAACGGCCCACCAAGGCGAUGAUCAGUAGCCGGUCUGAGAGGAUGAACGGCCACAUUGGGACUGAGACACGGCCCAGGCUCCUACGGGAGGCAGCAGUGGGGAAUCUUCCGCAAUGGACGAAAGUCUGACGGAGCAACGCCGCGUGAGUGAUGACGGCCUUCGGGUUGUAAAGCUCUGUUAAUCGGGACGAAAGGCCCUCUUGCGAAUAGUGAGAAGGAUUGACUGUACCGGAAUAGAAAGCCACGGCUAACUACGUGCCAGCAGCCGCGGUAAUACGUAGGUGGCAAGCGUUGUCCGGGAUUAUUGGGCGUAAAGCGCGCGCAGGCGGAUAGGUCAGUCUGUCUUAAAAGUUCGGGGCUUAACCCCGUGAUGGGAUGGAAACUGCCAAUCUAGAGUAUCGGAGAGGAAAGUGGAAUUCCUAGUGUAGCGGUGAAAUGCGUAGAUAUUAGGAAGAACACCAGUGGCGAAGGCGACUUUCUGGACGAAAACUGACGCUGAGGCGCGAAAGCCAGGGGAGCGAACGGGAUUAGAUACCCCGGUAGUCCUGGCCGUAAACGAUGGGUACUAGGUGUAGGAGGUAUCGACCCCUUCUGUGCCGGAGUUAACGCAAUAAGUACCCCGCCUGGGGAGUACGACCGCAAGGUUGAAACUCAAAGGAAUUGACGGGGGCCCGCACAAGCGGUGGAGUAUGUGGUUUAAUUCGACGCAACGCGAAGAACCUUACCAGGUCUUGACAUUGAUGGACAG
rnacentral:rRNA from 1 species